GGACGGACGAACCUCUGGUAUGGCAGUUGUACCGCCAGGUGCACCGCUGCUUCGCUACGUUCGGAAGAGAUAACCGCUGAAAGCAUCUAAGCGGGAAGCUCGCUUCGAGAUGAGAUUUCCAGACCCGCAAGGGUGAGAGGCCCCCAGCGAGACCACUGGGUUGAUAGGCCGGAGGUGGAAGCACGAACCAACGACGUGUGCAGCCGACCGGUACUAAUACGCCGACAACUUACCCCACACCCCA
rnacentral:rRNA from 1 species